rnacentral:tRNA from 1 species
GCAGUUGUGGCCGAGUGGUUAUGGCGUCUGACUCGAAAUCAGAUGGGCUCUGCCCGCGCAGGUUCGAAUCCUGCCAACUGCG